AGUGAACGCUGGCGGUAGGCCUAACACAUGCAAGUCGAACGGCAGCACAGUAAGAGCUUGCUCUUACGGGUGGCGAGUGGCGGACGGGUGAGGAAUACAUCGGAAUCUACUUUUUCGUGGGGGAUAACGUAGGGAAACUUACGCUAAUACCGCACACGACCUACGGGUGAAAGCAGGGGAUCUUCGGACCUUGCGCGAUUGAAUGAGCCGAUGUCGGAUUAGCUAGUUGGCGGGGUAAAGGUCCACCAAGGCGACGAUCCGUAGCUGGUCUGAGAGGAUGAUCAGCCACACUGGAACUGAGACACGGUCCAGACUCCUACGGGAGGCAGCAGUGGGGAAUAUUGGACAAUGGGCGCAAGCCUGAUCCAGCCAUACCGCGUGGGUGAAGAAGGCCUUCGGGUUGUAAAGCCCUUUUGUUGGGAAAGAAAAGCAGCAGGUUAAUACCCCGCUGUUCUGACGGUACCCAAAGAAUAAGCACCGGCUAACUUCGUG
rnacentral:rRNA from 1 species